rnacentral:rRNA from 1 species
UACGAAGGGAGCUAGCGUUGUUCGGAAUCACUGGGCGUAAAGCGCACGUAGGCGGAUUUGUAAGUCAGGGGUGAAAUCCCGGGGCUCAACCUCGGAACUGCCUUUGAUACUGCAAAUCUCGAGUCCGGAAGAGGUGAGUGGAAUUCCUAGUGUAGAGGUGAAAUUCGUAGAUAUGGGGUGGAACACCGGUGGCGAAGGCGGCCAUCUGGACGGUAACUGACGCUGAGACGCGAAAGCGUGGGUAGCAAACAGG